rfam:complete chromosome Acholeplasma brassicae.
UUAACAAAAUCUAAUUUGCCAAAGACAGCAAGUGCGUAAGCUUAAUUUCUUGCCGAGGACUAAAAAUGACUAUUUUUAACCCUCUUUUGUCUUGGCUUAAGAGGGUUUUAAUUUUAAAUC